rnacentral:rRNA from 1 species
UACAGAGGGGGCAAGCGUUGUUCGGAAUUACUGGGCGUAAAGGGCGCGUAGGCGGCCUUCUAAGUCGAACGUGAAAUCCCCGGGCUCAACCCGGGAACUGCGUCCGAUACUGGAAGGCUUGAAUUCGGGAGAGGGAUGCAGAGUUCCAGGUGUAGCGGUGAAAUGCGUAGAUAUCUGGAGGAAUACCGGUGGCGAAGGCGGCAUCCUGGACCGACAUUGACGCUGAACGGCGAAAGCUAGGGGAGCAAACGGG